GUCCUGGUGGUUCAAUGGUAGAAUCCUCACCUUCCAUGUGGGAGAUCUGGGUUUGAUUCCUGGUCAAUGCA
rnacentral:tRNA from 1 species